GCCGGGAUGGUGGAAUUGGCAGACACGUACGUUUGAGGGGCGUAUGCGUUACAGCGUGGGGGUUCGAGUCCCCCUCCCGGCA
rnacentral:tRNA from 1 species